UGGGAAGGAGAAGCUUGGAUGGCGAGGUCGUUGCCAACGCGGGAGAGGCAAGUGAUGGAGCGAGCCAAGGUCUUCAAUGCGUUGCCGCUCAGGGUGAACUCCAUUUUUUGAGCUCUUCGCCUUCCUCUCUGCAGCGACGCUACAGAUUUUUAUGAGGGGGUCGCUGAAAAAUUGGCGGGAUUGGAAGAAGACGACGCUUUGGGUCUUUGGCUCGGG
rnacentral:lncRNA from 1 species